AACGAACGCUGGCGGCGUGCUUAACACAUGCAAGUCGAGUGCGCGCCUGUAGCAAUACAGGUGGCGCACGGCGCACGGGUGCGUAACACGUGGGUAAUCUGCCCUCUGAUGGGGAAUAACUCGCCGAAAGGCGAGCUAAUUCCGCAUAACAUUCCGGGGACCUUGGUCCUUGGAUUCAAAGGCGUAAGUCGUCGGAGGAGGAGCCCGCGCACGAUUAGCUAGUUGGUGAGGUAAUGGCUCACCAAGGCUAUGAUCGUUAGCUGGUCUGAG
rnacentral:rRNA from 1 species